rnacentral:rRNA from 1 species
UGGGGAAUCUUGCACAAUGGGGGCAACCCUGAUGCAGCGACGCCGCGUGAGCGAUGAAGCCCUUCGGGGCGUAAAGCUCUUUCGACCGGAACGAUAAUGACGGUACCGGGAGAAGAAGCUGCGGCUAACUACGUGCCAGCAGCCGUGGUAAUACGUAGGUCGCAAGCGCUGUUCGGAGUUACUGGGCGUAAAGAGUGCGUAGGCGGUUUUCUAAGUUCGGUGUGAAAUCUCCCGGCUUAACUGGGAGGGUGCGCCGAAGACUGGGAAGCUGGUGUGUGGGAAAGGCAGGCGGAAUUCCUGGUGUAGCGGUGAAAUGCGUAGAUAUCAGGAGGAACACCGGCGGUGUAGACGGCUUGCUAGACCAUAACUGACGCUGAGGCACGAAAGCGUGGGUAGCAAACA